rnacentral:lncRNA from 10 species
GGCGAUUCAGGCUUGGAGGCAAGGGGCCUGACAUUGCGGUUUGAAUUCAGCCACCCUGGGAAUCUGCACCCUGAGCUUUCUCCAAUUUCUGGGAUGGCACAGUGAUGGCAGGGCUUAAGAGUGCCUCAAGAAGGCCAGCUGCCUUUAAAAACAAGCUCCUGGAAGAUGUAGGUGUCACAUAAAAGCAAGAGACCAAAAACUCUCUGCAAUUUGGGGUGUUCAGGAAAUGUUGAUUGAUCACAUUUUUUAAAUUAUAAGAGACUGCUGGACAUGGUGGCUCACUCCUGUAAUCCCAGCACUUCAGGAGGCCCAAGUGAGAGGAUUGCUUGAGCCCAAAAGUUCAAGACCAGCCUGGGCAACAUGGCAAAACCUCACCUCUACAAAAAAUCUAAAAAUUAGCCAGGUGUGGUGGUGCACACCUAUAAUCCCAGCUACUUGGGAGGCUGUGUGGGAGGAUUCCUUGAGCCCAGGAGACUGAGGCUGCAGUGAGCCAUGAUAGUGCCACUGCACUCCAGCCUGGGUUUACAGCAAGACCCUGUCUCAAAAAAAAAGUGUAAGACAGUUACCAGGUUCAUCAUAAAAAAUUCGUGGGACCUGGUUUUAUUUGCAAGAGCCACUGACUCUCAGGACAAACAAGAUUUGAAGCCCACACUGAGCUAUAGGUGGAGGCAGGGCUGUGAGAAUACAAUACAGGAUGCCCAGUUAAAUUUAAAUUUCAGGUAAGCAAUAAUAUUUUUUGUAUAAUUGUAUUCCAAAUAUUAUUAUUAUUUAUCUGAAAUUCAGAUUUAAUGGGCAUCAGGUGUUUUGUUCAAUCUGUUCACUCCAUUUGGGGUAUAAAUUGAUCUAGUUUUUAAACUGAUAACAGGGAACACUGACACAUAUUCAAUACAUAUGAAAGACGAUACCAGUUAAGAGAAGAAGAAGGAGAUUAGCAAUGAAGAGGGAAAGCGAGAGAAAUACCAGGAAGAAAAGGAGAUGGGCAUAGCGAAGGAGAAAAAGUUCCAAAUGAAAGAGAAACAGGAAGUGCUGAGGAGAGAGAAGAAAACAGGAAUGUUUCUGAAGGACCAAAAAUGUUUGAUAAAUUAUGACUGUUACACAGAGAGCCAUCUCCCUGGGAAAUGCUGUUGAGUUGGCUAACCACUGUUCCUGGAUCUGCAGCUCUUUGUUCUGUCUGGUAAAACACACAGUGACCACUAGGGAGAAAUGACUCUCUAAGCCACAGUACCAUUAUCUGGGUCACUAUUACCCCAGGCUCAGGUUGUUAAAUAAAAUUUAUAGGAGGCCAUUGCUUUGGACAGAGUCCUUCCACUGGGCUCCAACAGACCAAAGCAAACCAGAAUAGUGUCACUUGUGCUACCUGACAUGUGCUCAAACUGAACUUUAAAACGGGCCAGUUUUCCAAAAAUCAGGAGAUUUACAGCAACCAACUGAAAGUGAAGUGGUGUCAUUCAUCUGGGGUGAUACCUGAGGUUCACUGCCUCAUGCCAAAGAAAUCGAGGAUGCAGACACACACAGAGUGAGUUUAACAGGCGAAAGAAAGAGAAUAGGUCUCUCUCCUGCAGAGAGGGGGAUUCUCGAGUAGGUCUUCCGGUUCCAUGGUGAAAUGCACAGGGUUUUAUAGAUGAUCUUGAGGAGGCAGUGUCUGAUUUACAUAGGGCCCAAAGGUUGGUUGGACCAGGUGUGUCAUUUACAUAACGUGCGAAGAAGAUGGCUACCCCACCCUAAUCUUUUAUUAUGCAGAUAUGUGCCAUAUUGCCUGUUUCUUUACUGUACACGUGGUGACAAAGAAAAGGGAAGAUGGAGCCUCCAUGCUGAACAUGCCUGGUCCCCAGGUAGCCUUUUCCUAUUGGCAUAGCUGCCAGCAUUCAUCCAUGCAAGCUUCCAGUUUGCUUAUCUAUGUUUGCAGCUCAACUUUUCAGGCCACUCUUUGUUAGAAAAGAAAUGAUUCGGGGGCUGCUUUUUAUUAAAAGGGUAACCUUGCUGAGGACUCUCUUACCCUCACUAACUGCCUAAUUUCUUUCUAGCUCCUGUAUCAAAAGGGUCCCCAUCCACCUGCACAGGCAUGAGAGGGAAGUCCCCUGUGUAUAAACCCUUUAAGGAAAGUAACUUUGAAAUGACCAAGCCACUUCAUGUUUCUUGAUCUUGCUAUCCCCAGGCUUUUCUGCCCAUCCAUCUGCUUGGUUCUUCAAAGCACCUUUUCUAUUUUAUAGAUAAGAUGCUGCCUGAUUCACAAAUCGAUAAUAAAAGCCAACUGGACCUUUA